AACAGCACCUUAGAAUCCCCGUUUCUUCUCCACCGCCUUAUCUCCCUUUUAUCUCUUUCUUUUAUCUCUUUCUUUCUGGGUUGUUCCACCGCUAUAGUAAUCGCCGGCUUUUGCACCGUUUUGGACCUUUCCAUUUGUUUCUCCAAUCCAUAUAAUCACCGCCUCACCUAUUAGUAUCUAGAAGCAUCCGAUCGAUCUUCACAACCUAGGCACACCUUCACAUCUUCUCUACCUCCGAUCGGCGGCUUUCAACGAUGUUUCGAGAAAGGUUGAUGCCUCCCUUCCCUUCUUGCGACAUCCAAAGAUCGAGUGAGAGAGGAGUGUAAAACAGACAUCGCAUCUCCUACCUUCUUCUUCUUCUUUUAUUGUCUGAAGGUCUGAUUGACCAGCCACUAGCAGCACUACAAACGUUUCUCUCUUUCUGUUUACCACCAUGUCUUCCGUUCACAUCCUAACUGCACAAUUUCAUAUGAAGUCGCCACAUCUUCAACACCUUAAUAUUUGGAUGCUCUCUGGCGUUAUUAACAGACAAUUUUGAACACCAACUGCUCGACAAAAAUCCUCAACGAAAAAUUAGAUCAAGAGUGUAUUUCUACUUGAGAUGGUGGAAGAUGUUGAUUAUUCUCUGAAAUGGACUACAACAACAAAUCAUAGUUACGUGCAAACUCUAUGCUCGGAAUCUUACAUCGUAGCUCUUUCUACAAAAUGACCCAAAAUAGAAGGGAGAAUCAGGUACAAUGAUCAAUUUAUCAACUGAUAAGCUUCAUCUCUGACAUGGGAUGCUUUUAAUUUCUCACAAUGUAUGUCGUUUGUAAUUUUGCUAUGCUUGCUUACCAUGUUCAAUUGAAGACACAAAUUCUGCCCUAAUUCGACAAUUCUGAAAUUUCACCUGCUUCUGUAUGAAGGUGUAAUUCCUCAAGAAUACAUACUCAUUAAAUGGUUGACUCUUGAUUGUACAAUAUCUUCCCCCUUUUUGACUUCAAUUUGUCCUGUUAUACAUAUUUACUAAUUUCAUGGUGUUGUAUUUUCUAUCUAACUGAUAUUCUCUUACUGCUUUGUUAGCAGAAGGACCAUGCUCACUUGCUUUAAACUUCCCUGAAAAAUCUUUUAACAAAAGCAUUUGGUGUUAAGGAGUCGAGCCACAACUACUUGGUAUGUGAUAUUUUCUAUUUUUUUUUUUGCAACUUUUGGUAGAGGUGGAUGUAAUUGUUUCAUCAAAAUAAACAAUCUUUUCAUUCGAUAAUUUAAUGACUUAAAUAAAAGAAUUGAUGUUUUGUCCAACUUCUUUCCUGGAAUUCUAAAUGGGCCAAGAUUUGAAUGUAAUUAUUGAUUUGAAGGUAAAGUCUUUGUUUUA